rnacentral:rRNA from 1 species
UUAAUUGAAGAGUUUGAUCAUGGCUCAGAUUGAACGCUGGCGGCAGGCCUAACACAUGCAAGUCGAGCGGAAACGGCAGUAUUGAAGCUUCGGUGGAUUUACUGGACGUCGAGCGGCGGACGGGUGAGUAACGGCUGGGAACCUGCCCUGACGAGGGGGAUAACCGUUGGAAACGACGGCUAAUACCGCAUAAUGUCUACGGACCAAAGGUGGCCUCUACAUGUAAGCUAUCGCGUUGGGAUGGGCCCAGUUAGGAUUAGCUAGUUGGUAAGGUAACGGCUUACCAAGGCGACGAUCCUUAGCUGGUUUGAGAGGAUGAUCAGCCACACUGGGACUGAGACACGGCCCAGACUCCUACGGGAGGCAGCAGUGGGGAAUAUUGCACAAUGGGGGAGACCCUGAUGCAGCCAUGCCGCGUGUGUGAAGAAGGCCUUCGGGUUGUAAAGCACUUUCAGCAGUGAGGAAGGUAGUGUACUUAAUACGUGCAUUGCUUGACGUUAGCUGCAGAAGAAGCACCGGCUAACUCCGUGCCAGCAGCCGCGGUAAUACGGAGGGUGCGAGCGUUAAUCGGAAUUACUGGGCGUAAAGCGCAUGCAGGCGGUUUGUUAAGUCAGAUGUGAAAGCCCGGGGCUCAACCUCGGAACCGCAUUUGAAACUGGCAGGCUAGAGUCUUGUAGAGGGGGGUAGAAUUUCAGGUGUAGCGGUGAAAUGCGUAGAGAUCUGAAGGAAUACCAGUGGCGAAGGCGGCCCCCUGGACAAAGACUGACGCUCAGAUGCGAAAGCGUGGGUAGCAAACAGGAUUAGAUACCCUGGUAGUCCACGCCGUAAACGAUGUCUACUUGGAGGCUGAGGUUUAAGACUUUGGCUUUCGGAGCUAACGCAUUAAGUAGACCGCCUGGGGAGUACGGCCGCAAGGUUAAAACUCAAAUGAAUUGACGGGGGCCCGCACAAGCGGUGGAGCAUGUGGUUUAAUUCGAUGCAACGCGAAGAACCUUACCUACUCUUGACAUCCAG